rnacentral:rRNA from 1 species
GUGAGGAAUAUUGGUCAAUGGGCGGGAGCCUGAACCAGCCAAGUCGCGUGAAGGAAGAAGGAUCUAUGGUUCGUAAACUUCUUUUGCAGGGGAAUAAAGUGCAGGACGUGUCCUGUUUUGUAUGUACCCUGAGAAUAAGGAUCGGCUAACUCCGUGCCAGCAGCCGCGGUAAUACGGAGGAUCCGAGCGUUAUCCGGAUUUAUUGGGUUUAAAGGGUGCGUAGGUGGUUUGAUAAGUCAGCGGUGAAAGUUUGCAGCUUAACUGUAAAAAUGCCGUUGAAACUGUCGGACUUGAGUGUAAAUGAGGUAGGCGGAAUGCGUGGUGUAGCGGUGAAAUGCAUAGAUAUCACGCUGAACUCCGAUUGCGAAGGCAGCUUACUAAGCUACAACUGACACUGAAGCACGAAAGCGUGGGGAUCAAACAGGAUUAGAAACCCUUGUAGUCC